rnacentral:rRNA from 1 species
GACGAACGCUGGCGGCGUGCUUAACACAUGCAAGUCGAACGGAAAGGCCCUGCUUUUGUGGGGUUCUCGAGUGGCAAACGGGUGAGUAACACGUGAGUAACCUGCCCCUGACUUUGGGAUAACUUCAGGAAACGGGGGCUAAUACCGGAUAGGCGCUCCUGCUGCAUGGGGGGGGUUGGAAAGUUUGGGCGGGUGGGGAUGGACUGGCGGCUUAUCAGCUGGUUGGGGGGUUAGUGGCUUACCAAGGGUUUGACGGGUGGCCGGCCUGGGAGGGUGACCGGCACCAUGGGGACGGAGAUCCGGCCAAGAUCCCACCGGGGGGCAGAGGGGGGGAAUAUUGCCAAAGGGGGGGAAGCCUGAUGAAGCAACGCGGCGUGCGGGAUGCGGGCCUUCGGGUUGUAAACCGUUUUGGCCUGUGACGAGGCGUGAGUGACGGUAAUUGGUAAAGAAGCACCGGCUAACUACGUG